rnacentral:rRNA from 1 species
AUUGAACGCUGGCGGCAUGCCUUACACAUGCAAGUCGAACGGCAGCGGACCUUCGGGUGCCGGCGAGUGGCGAACGGGGGUGAGUAAUAUAUCGGAACGUACCUUUCAGUGGGGGAUAACGUAGCGAAAGUUACGCUAAUACCGCAUAUUCUGUGAGCAGGAAAGCAGGGGAUCGCAAGACCUUGCGCUGAUUGAGCGGCCGAUAUCAGAUUAGCUAGUUGGUGAGGUAAAGGCUCACCAAGGCGACGAUCUGUAGCGGGUCUGAGAGGAUGAUCCGCCACACUGGAACUGAGACACGGUCCAGACUCCUACGGGAGGCAGCAGUGGGGAAUUUUGGACAAUGGGCGCAAGCCUGAUCCAGCCAUGCCGCGUGAGUGAAGAAGGCCUC